GACGAACGCUGGCGGCGUGCCUAAUACAUGCAAGUUGAGCGCUGAGGGUUGGUUCUUGUACCAACUGGGUGAGCAGCGAACGGGUGAGUAACGCGUGGGUAAUCUGCCUUUGAGCGGGGGACAACAUUUGGAAACGAAUGCUAAUACCGCAUAAAAACUUUAAACACAAGUUUUAUGUUUGAAAGAUGCAAUUGCAUCACUCAAAGAUGAUCCCGCGUUGUAUUAGCUAGUUGGUGAGGUAAAGGCUCACCAAGGCGAAGAUACAUAGCCGACCUGAGAGGGAGAACGGGCACAUUGGGACUGGGACAAGGGCCAAACUCCUACGGGAGGCAGCAGUAGGGAAUCUUCGGCAAUGGACGAAAGUCUGACCGAGCAACGGCGCGGGAGUGAAGAAGGUUUUCGGAUCGUAAAACUCUGUUGGUAGAGAAGAACGUUGGUGAGGGUGGAAAGCUCAUCAAGUGACGGUAACUACCCAGAAAGGGACGGCUAACUACGUG
rnacentral:rRNA from 1 species